rnacentral:rRNA from 1 species
GACGAACGCUGGCGGCGUGCUUAACACAUGCAAGUCGAACGAAGUGGCGAACGGGUGAGUAAUACGUGAGUAACCUGCCCUCCUUUUUGGGAUAAGCCUUGGAAACGGGGUCUAAUACCGGAUAAAGGGGGCUGGGCUGGCGGCCUAUCAGCUUGUGGGUGGGGUACUGGCCUACAAAGGCGGUGACGGGUAGCCGGCCUGAGAGGUGGACCGGCCACAUUGGGACUGAGAUACGGCCCAGACUCCUACGGGAGGCAGCAGUGGGGAAGAUUGCACAAUGGGCGCAAGCCUGAUGAAGCCAGGCAGCGUGUAUGAAGAAGGCCUUAGGGUUGUAAAGUACUUUCAGCGGGGAGGCGUUACCCGCAGAAGAAGCACCGGCUAACUCCGUGCCAGCAGCCGCGGUAAUUC